rnacentral:rRNA from 1 species
GAUGAACGCUGGCGGCGUGCCUAACACAUGCAAGUCGAACGGAGAUUACGGACGGAAGUUUUCGGAUGGAAGCCUGUAAUUCUUAGUGGCGGACGGGUGAGUAACGCGUGGGCAACCUGCCCUAUACAGGGGGAUAGCAGCUGGAAACGGCUGGUAAGACCGCAUAAGUCGGUUAAAUCGCGUGAUUUGAUCGGGAAAUGAGCAAUCAGGUAUAGGAUGGGCCCGCGUCCGAUUAGCCAGUUGGCAGGGUAAAAGCCUACCAAAGCGACGAUCGGUAGCCGGACUGAGAGGUCGGACGGCCACAUUGGGACUGAGACACGGCCCAAACUCCUACGGGAGGCAGCAGUGGGGGAUAUUGCACAAUGGAGGAAACUCUGAUGCAGCGACGCCGCGUGAGUGAAGAAGUAUUUCGGUAUGUAAAGCUCUAUCAGCAGGGAAGAUGAUGACGGUACCUGACUAAGAAGCCCCGGCUAACUACGUG